rnacentral:rRNA from 1 species
CCUACGGGCGGCAGCAGUGGGGAAUAUUGGACAAUGGGCGAAAGCCUGAUCCAGCCAUGCCGCGUGUGUGAAGAAGGCCUUCGGGUUGUAAAGCACUUUCAGUGGGGAAGAAAGCCUUGGGGCUAAUACCCUCGAGGAAGGACAUCACCAACAGAAGAAGCACCGGCUAACUCCGUGCCAGCAGCCGCGGUAAUACGGAGGGUGCGAGCGUUAAUCGGAAUUACUGGGCGUAAAGCGCGCGUAGGCGGUCUGAUAAGCCGGUUGUGAAAGCCCCGGGCUCAACCUGGGAACGGCAUCCGGAACUGUCAGGCUAGAGUGCAGGAGAGGAAGGUAGAAUUCCCGGUGUAGCGGUGAAAUGCGUAGAGAUCGGGAGGAAUACCAGUGGCGAAGGCGGCCUUCUGGACUGACACUGACGCUGAGGUGCGAAAGCGUGGGUAGCAAACAGGAUUAGAUACCCGAGUAGUC